UAGAAACAAAGAGCCAAGAAGAUGCUCACCAAUACAUAUCUUUCUUCUUGUCAUUUAGGUUAUAUGUAUUUUGAAACAGGAAAUCUCGCCAUCCUCACCAAAGCCAUUUCCUUGAGAGGAUUUUAUCUGGUUUGUCUCCUUGACUCCAGGCAGGGCUCCAUUCCAACCAGAUGGAAGAAUGCAGACAUCUCACAUCAUUUACACCCAGAAGGCUGUCAGCAGCAGCGCUCAGGGAGUGAGAGUGUUUAAUCUCGAGGAGGAAAUAGAAUGUAUACACACCCUGCAAACUGAGAUGUUUUACGUUGGCUCUGGCUCCUACCGCCCCCCAUGUGUGGCAGCAGCUACCAAGACUCUACUGUGAAUCCCCAUGACUGGGCUCUCACUGGCAAAAUCUACUUGUUUCCAGCAAUACAGAGUGGAUCUGGGCAUGGGCAGAAGAUGGGUACAGCAGAAAUUUGGCAGUUACUCAGCAUGAGCUGCUUUCUUCACACAUGGAC
rnacentral:lncRNA from 1 species